rnacentral:rRNA from 1 species
AAAUAGAUACCCCGGUAGUCCACGUCGUAAACGAUGAGUGCUAAGUGUUAGAGGGUUUCCGCCCUUUAGUGCUGCAGCUAACGCAUUAAGCACUCCGCCUGGGGAGUACGGCCGCAAGGCUGAAACUCAAAGGAAUUGACGGGGGCCCGCACAAGCGGUGGAGCAUGUGGUUUAAUUCGAAGCAACGCGAAGAACCUUACCAGGUCUUGACAUCCUCUGACAACCCUAGAGAUAGGGCUUUCCCCUUCGGGGGACAGAGUGACAGGUGGUGCAUGGUUGUCGUCAGCUCGUGUCGUGAGAUGUUGGGUUAAGUCCCGCAACGAGCGCAACCCUUGAUCUUAGUUGCCAGCAUUCAGUUGGGCACUCUAAGGUGACUGCCGGUGACAAACCGGAGGAAGGUGGGGAUGACGUCAAAUCAUCAUGCCCCUUAUGACCUGGGCUACACACGUGCUACAAUGGAUGGUACAAAGGGCUGCAAACCUGCGAAGGUAAGCGAAUCCCAUAAAGCCAUUCUCAGUUCGGAUUGCAGG